UCUUACGAAUGAGCAAAGAAAGUGGUUCCUUGAGAUGGAAUCUACACCUGGUGAAGAUAAUGUGAA
rnacentral:pre_miRNA from 1 species